rnacentral:rRNA from 1 species
GACGAACGCUGGCGGCGUGCUUAACACAUGCAAGUCGAGCGAUGAAGCACCUUCGGGUGUGAAUUAGCGGCGAACGGGUGAGGAACACGUGAAGAAUCUGCCUUCAACUCUGGGAUAACUCCGGGAAACCGGGGCUAAUACCGGAUAUGAGCCUUGAUCGCAUGAUCGGGGCUGGAAAGUUUUUCGGUUGAAGAUGACUUCGCGGCCUAUCAGGUUGUUGGUGAGGUAAUGGCUCACCAAGGCGACGACGGGUAGCCGGCCUGAGAGGGCGACCGGCCACGCUGGGACUGAGACACGGCGCAGACGCCUACGGGAGGUAGCAGUGGGGAAUAUUGGGCAAUGGAGGAAACUCUGACCCAGCGACGCCGCGUGAGGGAUGAAGGUCUUCGGGUUGUAAACCUCUUUGAGGAGGGAAGAAGCGAAAGUGACGGUACCUACAGAAGAAGCACCGGCCAACUAUGUGCCAGCAGCCGCAGUAA